CGGGGCGUAGCGCAGACCGGUAGCGCACUGCGUUCGGGACGCAGGGGUCGGAGGUUCAAAUCCUCUCGCCCCGACCA
rnacentral:tRNA from 3 species